AACAGGCAUGGAGUUCUGGUUGGAGCGUGUGUGAUUAAGUGUGUGUAUGUGUCACUCUUCCCCACCUGGGUUAAAAAUGGCUAAAGUUUCUGGAAUGUUGGUACCCAGCUGUAAUCCUCAACUGUGGGGUGUAAUAUAGGUUUCUGGCUGUAUGACAUGUGAAACAUACUAAGGGCUCAAACUAAGCGUUUUGGACUUGCUGAAGAAGCCAGACUGCUAACGAACCCGUGAGAAUGGUUGAGUUCAUCUCGCAGGCCACGUGGGGCGAAAUCAGCCCGGCAAAAUUAGGAGCAAGUGUUUCAGAUUCCUUCCUGGUCUAUAAGAGCAAAAUCACCUCCUUCUUUCCAUGAUGCUGUGCUUGAAUGAAUGAGUCUCAACAGAUGUUUCAGAUAUACCUCAAUCGAUCAGUUAAUCAAUGGUAAUCAAGGAAUCCUCAUCCUUGUCUUAGGAAGCACUAAGUGUUGAUGGAAGGAAAUGGUAUUUUGUUAAACACGUAGAUUUUCUGUUUAAAAUGCACAGUAGACUGUACCCCGCUGGAUUUGGAAUUUGGAAUAUGUAGAGUUUUCUUUAAUUUUUUACAAGAGGAAUGGGUCUUAUGUAAAGGGAUCAAAUGGAAACAAGCAGUCAGCUUGGAUUAUUCAUGGAAGGUAUUUCUAGCUCAGAGCUGUUAGAAUGACAGAACUGACAUCACUGUAUCAUUAUUAUAAUUCCUAUUUCCUUUCAUCACUCUUAGAUGAAAGGAAGUAAAUAUACAGUAGGAAUAAAUAAUCCAUUUAUCCCUCUUGGGAGUAGAGACCUGUAUAUAGAUCACUGCAGCUUGGGUGCUAAAAGUA